AGCUUUGCGCAGUGGCAAUAUCGUAGCCAAUGAGGUUUAUCCGAGGCGCGAUUAUUGCUAAUUAAAGAGCAAAAUCUUUUUAUUUUGACGAAGUACAACUU
rnacentral:snRNA from 1 species